GACGAACGCUGGCGGCGUGCUUAACACAUGCCAGUCGAACGGUGAAGCGCCUUCCUUUUUGGUGGGUGUGGAUGAGUGGCGAACGGGUGAGUAACACGUGAGUAACCUGCCCCCUUCUUCUGGAUAACCGCAUGAAAGUGUGGCUAAUACGGGAUAUUCUGGGUCUGUCGCAUGAUGGGUCUGGGAAAGAUAUUGUUUCGGUGGGGGAUGGGCUCGCGGCCUAUCAGCUUGUUGGUGGGGUGAUGGCCUACCAAGGCGGUGACGGGUAGCCGGCCUGAGAGGGUGGACGGUCACACUGGGACUGAGACACGGCCCAGACUCCUACGGGAGGCAGCAGUGGGGAAUAGUGCACGAUGGGCGCAAGCCUGAUGCAGCGACGCCGCGUGAGGGAUGGAGGCCUUCGGGUUGUGAACCUCUUUCGCCAGUGAAGCAGGCCUGCCUCGUUUGUGGGUGGGUUGACGGUAGCUGGAUAAGAAGCGCCGGCUAACUACGUG
rnacentral:rRNA from 1 species